GACGAACGCUGGCGGCGUGCUUAACACAUGCAAGUCGAACGGAAAGGCCCUGCUUUUGUGGGGUGCUCGAGUGGCGAACGGGUGAGUAACACGUGAGUAACCUUCCCUUGACUUUGGGAUAACUUCAGGAAACUGGUGCUAAUACCGGAUAGGAGCUCCUGCUGCAUGGUGGGGGUUGGAAAGUUUCGGCGGUUGGGGAUGGACUGGCGGCUUAUCAGCUUGUUGGUGGGGUAGUGGCUUACCAAGGCUUUGACGGGUAGCCGGCCUGAGAGGGUGACCGGCCACAUUGGGACUGAGAUACGGCCCAGACUCCUACGGGAGGCAGCAGUGGGGAAUAUUGCACAAUGGGCGGAAGCCUGAUGCAGCAACGCCGCGUGCGGGAUGACGGCCUUCGGGUUGUAAACCGCUUUCGCCUGUGACGAAGCGUGAGUGACGGUAAUGGGUAAAGAAGCACCGGCUAACUACGUG
rnacentral:rRNA from 1 species